rnacentral:piRNA from 1 species
UCUUUGAGAACAUAAGUGCACCCAUGAG